AAAUAAUUCUAUUUACAAAAACUUACACACAUCAGAUUCUCAAUUAAAUUAAUGAACACAUUCAAUUCAGUGCAAAACAUAGAUGUGAAAGAGGAAAAGGCUUGAAUUUAGUGUUUACACAGAGGUACUAUUCUCUUCAUCUUCAGUCUUUCUCCCAUGUACAGGGAGUACUAGAUUUGCCCUUCAGCUUCUGUGUGACUGUGUAGAUAUUAGCAAGGAGUCACUCCAUGUCAAAUGUUGUUCUUUCCCUAUUUUUCUUCACAUGAAAUGAGUUGUUCUUUAAUUUGGACAUGAUCUCUGGCUGCACAUAUUUACCAGAAAGGUAAGGUUCUUUUUGUUAUUUACAAGGUAUUUUAUCUGCUAUAUGAAGACCUGAGUGCCUCUACAUUUUCCUGCCCGGAGGACUUUGGAGUAAGAGUUGGAGCACACUUUCAUCGGAACCUGUAGUACAAUUGCUCAAAGCUUAAUGCUUGCUGUCACAGAUGAUAGCUCCCAUGAGGGCCCAACAAUCCCUUAUAAACAACAGCCUUGUGUGCUCACAGUCAAAAUGAAUUUCAGCUCUCAGAAGAAAUACAUUUCAGGAAAGGACAUGAGGAUCCUUUUAGUCCUUUCCACAUUUCUGAAGACCGUGAAACUCCAGAAGCAGCAAGAAUUUCUAUCAGAGAUUGUGACCACCUUUACUUUGCUGAAGGUAUAA
rnacentral:lncRNA from 1 species